UCGAGGAUCUUCGGCAAUGGGCGCAAGCCUGACCGAGCGACGCCGCGUGUGCGAUGAAGGCCUUCGGGUUGUAAAGCACUGUCGAGGGGGAGGAAGCUCCGUAAGGAGUUGACCUAUCCCUGGAGGAAGCACGGGCUAAGUUCGUGCCAGCAGCCGCGGUAAGACGAACCGUGCAAACGUUAUUCGGAAUCACUGGGCUUAAAGGGCGCGUAGGCGGGUCGGAUAGUCUGCGGUGAAAUCCCUCAGCUUAACUGGGGAACUGCCGUGGAUACUGCCAAUCUCGAGGAGGGUAGGGGCAUCUGGAACAGCCGGUGGAGCGGUGAAAUGCGUUGAUAUCGGCUGGAACUCCGGUGGCGAAGGCGAGAUGCUGGACCCUUUCUGACGCUGAGGCGCGAAAGCCAGGGGANCGAACGG
rnacentral:rRNA from 1 species